UACAGAGGUCCCAAGCGUUGUUCGGAUUCACUGGGCGUAAAGGGUGCGUAGGCGGUCGGGUAAGUCUAAUGUGAAAUCUCACAGCUUAACUGUGAAACUGCAUUGGAUACUAUCCGGCUAGAGGAAUGGAGGGGAGACUGGAAUACUUGGUGUAGCAGUGAAAUGCGUAGAUAUCAAGUGGAACACCAGUGGCGAAGGCGAGUCUCUGGACAUUUCCUGACGCUGAGGCACGAAAGCCAGGGGAGCAAACGGG
rnacentral:rRNA from 1 species